rnacentral:rRNA from 1 species
AACUUUCAACAAUGGAUCUCUUGGUUCCGGCAUCGAUGAACAACGCAGCGAACUGCGAUAAGUAAUGUGAAUUGCAGAAUUCAGUGAAUCAUCGAGUCUUUGAACGCACAUUGCGCCCCCUGGCAUUCCGGGGGGCAUGCCUGUCCGAGCGUCAUU